AGAGAUGAAUAGUGGUACCAAGU
rnacentral:siRNA from 1 species